AGCAGCCGCGGUAAUUCCAGCUCCAAUAGCGUAUAUUAAAGUUGCUGCAGUUAAAAGCUCGUAGUUGAAUUUCGGGACCAUCAUGUCGGUCGUGCCUCGGUACGUACUGGCAUUGUUGGUUUCUACCUUCUGACGAACCAUGAUGUCAUUUAUUUGGUGUCGUGGGAAAUCAGGACUGUUACUUUGAAAAAUUAGAGUGUUUAAAGCAGGCUCACGCUUGAAUACAUUAGCAUGGAAUAAUGAAAUAGGACGUUUGAUUCUAUUUUGUUGGUUUUCUAGGAUCGACGUAAUGAUUAAUAGGGAUAGUUGGGGGCAUUAGUAUUCAAUUGUCAGAGGUGAAAUUCUUGGAUUUAUUGAAGACUAACUACUGCGAAAGCAUUUGCCAAGGAUGUUUUCAUUAAUCAAGAACGAAAGUUAGGGGAUCGAAGACGAUCAGAUACCGUCGUAGUCUUAACCAUAAACUAUGCCGACUAGGGAUCGGAUGAUGUUAAUUUUUAU
rnacentral:misc_RNA from 1 species